rnacentral:misc_RNA from 1 species
AACCUUAUGGACCUGCGGGCGUAUACCUGCGGAAGGAUCAUUAACCGUUACAAACAGUGUGUGCUGCGGCCCCCGAGGUGAGGCAACGAGCCUUCGGGAGGUCUGGGGUCCGCCCCUUCACGCGCACGCGUCUGCCAUCCUUACUUUACGAGCACCUUCUGUUCUCCCUCGGCAUGCGUCCUGCGCUGCCGUUGGAAUUACAAAACUCUUUUUUGCAUCUAGCAUUACCUGUUCCGACAA